rnacentral:rRNA from 1 species
GACGUAGGGAGCAAGCGUUGUCCGGAAUAACUGGGCGUAAAGCGCAUGUAGACGGCAUAGUAAGCCAAAUGUGAAAUGUAGGGGCUCAACCCCUGCACUGCGAUUGGAACUGCUAAGCUUGAGUACAGGAGAGGAAAAUGGAAUUCCCAGUGUAGCAGUGAAAUGCGUAGAGAUUGGGAGGAACACCAGUGGCGAAGGCGAUUUGCUGGACUGCAACUGCCGUUGAGAUGCGAAAGCUAGGGGAGCAACCGGG